AGACCGAUAGCGAACAAGUAGAGUGAUCGAAAGAUGAAAAGCACUUUGAAAAGAGGGUUAAAUAGUACGUGAAAUUGUUGAAAGGGAAGCGCUCAUGACCAGACUUGGGCCCGGUGAAUCAUCCAGCGUUCUCGCUGGUGCACUUUGCCGGGCACAGGCCAGCAUCAGUUUGCCGCGGGGGAUAAAGGCUUCGGGAACGUGGCUCCCUCGGGAGUGUUAUAGCCCGUUGCACAAUACCCUGGGGCGGACUGAGGUUCGCGCAUCUGCUAGGAUGCUGGCGUAAUGGUCAUCAGCGACCCGUCUUGAAACACGGACCAAG
rnacentral:rRNA from 1 species